rnacentral:rRNA from 1 species
GACGAACGCUGGCGGCGGGCUUAACACAUGCAAGUCGAACGAGGUCCAUCUUGUAGCAAUACAAGUGAAGAUCUAGUGGCGAACGGGUGAGGAACACGUGAGAAAUUUGCCCCGAACUUUGGGAUAACAGUUGGAAACGACUGCUAAUACCGAAUGCCGUUAUGAAGUGGCAUCACUUUGUAACGAAAGAACUUCGGUUCGGGAGAAUCUCGCGGCCUAUCAGCUUGUUGGUGAGGUAACGGCUCACCAAGGCUACGACGGGUAGCUGGUCUGAGAGGAUGAUCAGCCACACUGGGACUGAGACACGGCCCAGACUCCUACGGGAGGCAGCAGUGGGGAAUCUUGUGCAAUGGACGAAAGUCUGACACAGCCACGCCGCGUGCGGGAAGAAGGCCUUCGGGUUGUAAACCGCUUUCAGCAGGAACGAAAAUGACGGUACCUGCAGAAGAAGGAGCGGCCAACUACGUGCC